rnacentral:rRNA from 2 species
AGUGAACGCUGGCGGCGUGCCUAAUACAUGCAAGUCGAACGAUGAAGUCCUAGCUUGCUAGGAUGGAUUAGUGGCGCACGGGUGAGUAAUGUAUAGCUAAUCUGCCCCAUAGAGAGGAACAACACUUAGAAAUGAGUGCUAAUACCUCAUACUCCAAUUAUACAUAAGUUUAAUUGGGAAAUGUCUUUCGCUAUGGGAUGAGGCUAUAUUGUAUCAGCUAGUUGGUAAGGUAAUGGCUUACCAAGGCUAUGACGCAUAACUGGUCUGAGAGGAUGAUCAGUCACACUGGAACUGAGACACGGUCCAGACUCCUACGGGAGGCAGCAGUAGGGAAUAUUGCUCAAUGGGGGAAACCCUGAAGCAGCAACGCCGCGUGGAGGAUGACACUUUUCGGAGCGUAAACUCCUUUUCUUUGGGAAGAAUAAUGACGGUACCAAAGGAAUAAGCACCGGCUAACUCCGUGCCAGCAGCCGCGGUAAUACGGAGGGUGCAAGCGUUACUCGGAAUCACUGGGCGUAAAGGACGCGUAGGUGGAUAGAUAAGUCUCUUGUGAAAUCUAGUAGCUUAACUACUAAACUGCUUGGGAAACUAUCUAUCUAGAGUAAGGGAGAGGCAGAUGGAAUUCUUGGUGUAGGGGUAAAAUCCGUAGAUAUCAAGAGGAAUACUUAUUGCGAAGGCGAUCUGCUAGAACUUAACUGACACUAAUGCGUGAAAGCGUGGGGAGCAAACAGGAUUAGAUACCCUGGUAGUCCACGCCCUAAACGAUGUAUACUGGUUGUUGCUGUGCUAGUCAUGGCAGUAAUCCACCUAACGGAUUAAGUAUACCGCCUGGGGAGUACGGUCGCAAGAUUAAAACUCAAAGGAAUAGACGGGGACCCGCACAAGCGGUGGAGCAUGUGGUUUAAUUCGAAGAUACGCGAAGAACCUUACCCGGACUUGAUAUCUAACAAAUCAUCUAGAGAUAGAAGAGUGUCUGCUUGCAGAAAUGUUAAGACAGGUGCUGCACGGCUGUCGUCAGCUCGUGUCGUGAGAUGUUGGGUUAAGUCCCGCAACGAGCGCAACCCACGUGUUUAGUUGCUAACAGUUAGGCUGAGCACUCUAAACAGACUGCCUUCGUAAGGAGGAGGAAGGUGUGGACGACGUCAAGUCAUCAUGGCCCUUAUGUCCGGGGCGACACACGUGCUACAAUGGCAUAUACAAUAAGACGCAAUAUCGCGAGAUGGAGCAAAUCUAUAAAAUAUGUCCCAGUUCGGAUUGGAGUCUGCAACUCGACUCCAUGAAGCCGGAAUCGCUAGUAAUCGUAGAUCAGCCAUGCUACGGUGAAUACGUUCCCGGGUCUUGUACUCACCGCCCGUCACACCAUGGGAGUUGAUUUCACUCGAAGCCCAAAUACCAAAUUGGUUAUGGUCCACAGUGGAAUCAGCGACUGGGGUG